CCUACGGGUGGCAGCAGUGAGGAAUAUUGGUCAAUGGGCGCGAGCCUGAACCAGCCAAGUCGCGUGAGGGAGGACGGCCCUACGGGUUGUAAACCUCUGUUGCCGGGGAGCAACGGGCGCCACGUGUGGCGUCACGGAGAGGACCCGGAGAAAAAGCAGCGGCGAACUCCGUGCCAGCAGCCGCGGUAAUACGGAGGAUGCGAGCGUUAUCCGGAUUUAUGGGGUUGAAAGGGUGCGUAGGCGGAUCGUGAAGUCAGGGGUCAAAUUGCGGGGCUCCACCCCUUCCCGCCAUUGAAACGGGCGUUCUUGAGUGGACGCGCAGUCUGCGGAAUGCGUGGUGUAGCGG
rnacentral:rRNA from 1 species